AUCAACGCCAUGCAGGAAACCAGCUGGUUGCCCAGAGCAGGAUGAGUCUUUAGUGACCCUACCACGGACUGCCACUUCAUCUUGGGAGCCAGGUGAAGAAGAACUCCCACAGAGGGAGGUGGCUCAGACAUGGAGAUCAAAAUAAGAGUAACUUUUCCUGUCGACCCUCGGUGGCUGUACCGGAGGUGAUGCCAUCCGCCGCAUGCUGCUGAGACAGUACCGCUUACGGGGAAGAAAGACAAAGAGAGCCUUCCAGGACCUGGCUGUACGCAGGGUUAGAA